UGGGGAAUAUUGCACAAUGGGCGCAAGCCUGAUGCAGCCAUGCCGCGUGUAUGAAGAAGGCCUUCGGGUUGUAAAGUACUUUCAGCGGGGAGGAAGGGAGUAAAGUUAAUACCUUUGCUCAUUGACGUUACCCGCAGAAGAAGCACCGGCUAACUCCGGGCCAGCAGCCGCGGUAAUACGGAGGGUGCAAGCGUUAAUCGGAAUUACUGGGCGUAAAGCGCACGCAGGCGGUUUGUUAAGUCAGAUGUGAAAUCCCCGGGCUCAACCUGGGAACUGCAUCUGAUACUGGCAAGCUUGAGUCUCGUAGAGGGGGGUAGAAUUCCAUGUGUAGCGGUGAAAUGCGUAGAGAUGUGGAGGAAUACCGGUGGCGAAGGCGGCCCCCUGGACAAAGACUGACGCUCAGGUGCGAAAGCGUGGGGAGCAAACAGG
rnacentral:rRNA from 1 species